AUUGAACGCUGGCGGCAGGCCUAACACAUGCAAGUCGAACGGUAACAGGAAGAAGCUUGCUUCUUUGCUGACGAGUGGCGGACGGGUGAGUAAUGUCUGGGAAACUGCCUGAUGGAGGGGGAUAACUACUGGAAACGGUAGCUAAUACCGCAUAACGUCGCAAGACCAAAGAGGGGGACCUUCGGGCCUCUUGCCAUCGGAUGUGCCCAGAUGGGAUUAGCUAGUAGGUGGGGUAACGGCUCACCUAGGCGACGAUCCCUAGCUGGUCUGAGAGGAUGACCAGCCACACUGGAACUGAGACACGGUCCAGACUCCUACGGGAGGCAGCAGUGGGGAAUAUUGCACAAUGGGCGCAAGCCUGAUGCAGCCAUGCCGCGUGUAUGAAGAAGGCCUUCGGGUUGUAAAGUACUUUCAGCGAGGAGGAAGGGAGUAAAGUUAAUACCUUUACUCAUUGACGUUACCCGCAGAAGAAGCACCGGCUAACUCCGUG
rnacentral:rRNA from 1 species